rnacentral:tRNA from 1 species
GGAGCUGUAGCUCAGCUGGUUAGAGCGCUUCCCUGUCACGGAAGAGGUCGCGGGUUCGAAUCCCGUCAGCUCCGCCA